GUAGGUGAACCUGCGGAAGGAUCAUUAGUGAAUUUUAGGGUGCUCUCUCCGUUUUCACCUCUCUUGCUCUCCCACUUAACUGGUUGAGCAAGAAGGCAAGCGGGCAAGAGAGGCCUGACCUCCACUUUCUACCCUGUGCAUUAUUUCUAAAGGUCUUUCUUGCUUUCUGUGAAAGCAGCUUGCAAGAAAGCCUUUUCAAUUUUAUAAACAUGAGUUUAAGAAUGUAAAAAAAAUCAUAACAAAAAAAAAC
rnacentral:misc_RNA from 1 species